AUUCCAGAUAGGAAAAAUGUUGUGAAUUUUUCCCAAAAGGCUCCAACAUCCACCAGGUAAUGAAUGGACUCUAGAGAGACUACUUUCCAGGUUCUCUACAGUCAAACACUAACUGGGACAUCCUCUUCUCCCUCCUAGGUGUCGCCUUCCUUCAUCUGACCCUCACAAGGCAUUUAUAUGUUACAUAUGCAAAUGCAUGGCACACCAGAUUGAGUUAAUGACCUAUCAUCAAACAAAUUCCACACACACUUCAACGGUUUCCAGUUUCUCAUACAAAAGCACUUCACCCCUACUUUGGUUAGCAGUGCUGGAAUCCUGGAUGAGGUGGCAUCUGAGAAAUUCUUGUGUGGGAUAAAAUUCAGCCAUGCAGAAAAGAAGAGACCUGACUCUACAUGCUGUGGACAUGGAAUAAAAGAAGGUGGGGAAGCAAGCAGUAAAGGGCUAUUGCAGAAAGAGGAGAUACUGAAGUCUGGCUACAUAGAAGAAGAGGAGUAGCAGGGACCAAGUCUGAAAAGGUACUCUGAGACCAAACUGUAAAGUGCCAUCAGUGACCAGCUAAGGAAAUUAAAAUUUAUCCUGUAGACGAAAGAGAAAUGGGAAAUUUUAGAGCAUAGGCAAAUCAUGACUACAGAAGUGUGAUGUAUUAAGUGGGAAUGAGUCUAAGCAUUUAGGGCCAAGGAAAAAGCUUUUUCCCUAGUCUAGGCAGGAGGAGGUCAAAACUUGACCUUGGCAGGUAAUGGCAGUGGGAAUGGAGAGGACAGUUUGGAUAUGAAAGAUACUCUGGAGUAUAAUUAACAGUCCUGGUAACUGAUUGGAAACACAAAUAAUGGGGGAUCAGAAUCAAAGAUGAUGGAAAAGCUAAGCCUAAUUCCAGGGAGAAUGGUGUUAUCCUUAACAGCAUGAGUAACUCAGAGAAGGCCGGGAUCCAGUUGGGAAGGGGAAAAGAAGGGCUACACUAAGGGCAUGUGAAUCCAAUGGACUUGGCAUAAAACCAAGAGGGAGCUUUAGAACAAAUAGUCGCAAAUAUGGGAUCAGAGCUUAGGAGAGACAUCAGGGCUGGAGGUAGAGAAUUAGCUCAAACUGACAGUUUUACUGAGCAUAAAAAAAACAAAGCUUAGUAGCUGGUCCAGGUGCUCCCAAAGGUGGGUUGUGGUCCCAGCUGUGGGGCUCACUGCCUCACUUCCUGAAGCUCUUUGGUCUCAGAAAGGUGAGGGAGGUGUGCAGCAGUUGGUACCUGAGCAGCCUAGCUUGACUGCUCUUGUGCAAAGCUGACAUCCAAGAGGCCCAGCAAAAGAGAGGCAGCCUUCUCCC
rnacentral:lncRNA from 1 species